UACGGAGGGAGCUAGCGUUGUUCGGAAUUACUGGGCGUAAAGCGCGCGUAGGCGGUUACUCAAGUCAGAGGUGAAAGCCCGGGGCUCAACCCCGGAACUGCCUUUGAAACUAGGUGACUAGAAUCUUGGAGAGGUCAGUGGAAUUCCGAGUGUAGAGGUGAAAUUCGUAGAUAUUGGGAAGAACACCGGUGGCGAAGGCGGCGCUCUGGACCGAGACUGACGCUGAGGCGCGAAAGCGUGGGGAGCAAACAGG
rnacentral:rRNA from 1 species